GAUACCCACUAGGGGAGCCUGAAUAGGCUGAGACGGGAUAACUGAUUCCCGGACCCUUGAACCUGAUCUGGAUCAUACCAGCGUAGGAAAGUGGAGUCGGACCUUU
rnacentral:ncRNA from 2 species